AAAAUAUAUAUUAAUAACUAUUAGUUAAAUGAUUAUGCCCGCAAAACACCUAGUAUAAUUAUAAAGAAUGAAUGAUUUACAACAUCAAAUCCAAACGGAAUAUGAUUGAUUGAAUUUGUUAAAUUUGUGAUUGAAUAAGACUCGUUUUGCUAUUAUUUGAAAGAGAACCAACCGUCUCCUAUUAUUUUUAUGGUCACGUGAGAAGGAUUCGGUUAGCGCUUUUGGUCCGUCCCUGCAUCAGAUCUUACGACGGCAUUGAUGGUUGAAGAAGGAGAAUGAGAUCUCACCAAGGUGGCCGUGAACUGACGGUUCUUCAACUUCUAUGCGCCGUCGCAGAUUUCUCCGUCCUCCUCUUCACCAUCCAAUCUUCCUUCUUGGCAACAGGUCAUCGUCCUUCUCUCCAUCGAUAACAACACCUUCCUCUCUUUUUUGUUUUCGAAUUCUUCAUCACGCAGCGCAGAUGAUAAAUAGCAAUCGCAAGCAUCCGGAAGAUAUUAAGAUCUUGUCAGAGUUUCACUUAUAUCUUUGAUUGAUUAGUUAGCUCAUUAUCACUUAUAUCUUUAGUCUCAAGUUUCGUUACAGAUUCUUCGUCAUUUGGAUUUUAGAUCGAUUACACGCUUUCGGUAUCUUAUGCUCGUUCAUAGCUAAUCUAUUGUAAUGUACGAUUACACUUCUUAAUCGUACAUUGUGUGAGGAACAUCUUAAUGUGAUCCUUCCAGCAAAGCCUCCUUUCCACCCACGGCAGUUUCAUAAAUGCACUGUCGUUGGAAACUCUGGAGAUUUGUUAAAAACAGAGUUCGGAGAAGAGAUUGACAGUCACGAUGCUGUGUUCCGAGAUAAUGAAGCUCCUGUCAAUAAGACAAUGAGGUGCUUAUAAUCAAAAGUGUGACCCACCGAGACUUCGACAAAAUGAUAAAGACUAUACCAAACCCUGUUUAUCUUUCUUUUCCAAGGAAUUGUCCUGCGCAGAGGUGCCAAAGGAACCGGGAUGAAUUAUCCAUGUGCGAUAUUGUUGACAUAUAUGGUUUCACGGUCGAUCCUGGAUACACCG